rnacentral:rRNA from 1 species
AGUGAACGCUGGCGGUAGGCCUAACACAUGCAAGUCGAACGGCAGCACAGUAAGAUCUUGCUCUUACGGGUGGCGAGUGGCGGACGGGUGAGGAAUACAUCGGAAUCUACUUUUUCGGGGGGGAUAACGUAGGGAAACUUACGCUAAUACCGCAUACGACCUACGGGUGAAAGCAGUGGAGCUUCGGACCUUGCGCGAUUGAAUGAGCCGAUGUCGGAUUAGCUAGUUGGCGGGGUAAGGGCCCACCAAGGCGACGAUCCGUAGCUGGUCUGAGAGGAUGAUCAGCCACACUGGAACUGAGACACGGUCCAGACUCCUACGGGAGGCAGCAGUGGGGAAUAUUGGACAAUGGGCGCAAGCCUGAUCCAGCCAUACCGCGUGGGUGAAGAAGGCCUUCGGGUUGUAAAGCCCUUUUGUUGGGAAAGAAAAGCAGCAGGUUAAUACCCCGCUGUUCUGACGGUACCCAAAGAAUAAGCACCGGCUAACUUCGUG